rnacentral:lncRNA from 1 species
ACAAACCCCAAACCAUGGUUUUUAAAUACUUUUAUUCAUUCCGCCCUUUUAUAGAUCACAUAAAUUUGUUUAUUCUUUAGAUUUUCUCUUCAUACAGUAUCUUUUCUUUUGUUUCAGUUUCCCGGAGUCCGAGCUUGCGUCCAGCGCACACGGGCAUCCUUUAAGUAUACACAGGAACUAUACACAACAUAUACAUACAUUACAAUAUAUGUAUAAAUAGUUGCAUUUGAUAUAUGGAGAUUAAAAUAAUAAUAAUAAUAAUAAUAAUAAUAAUAAUAAUAAUAAUAGUAAUAAAAAACAUUAGGUAUUUUUGCACAUACAUUUGUAAUACAAUGCCACAUUAUUUGUCUUGCUUGUAGUCCUUUAGCCACUCCUCCAUAUGUUAGCAGGCUGGGAUAAAGAAUAGGAAUAUACUGAGGCCUAAUUGGUGUCCACGCUCCAAGAAGGAAUUACUGUAAGAUUGGAUUCAGGCUACGUCCGAUUAGGUCUGAUACUUGAAAUGUAUCAUCAUUGUGUCAUCAUGGUGUGCGGGCUAAUAAUAAACGAUACAAACAUACAUAGUUUAGCAUUCACAAACAAUUCAACACCUCUUAUCUUUCCUUUCACAAAUGUGUGAUGAAUGAUUAGCCUUUAUUGUAUUUUAUUUUUAACACUGAACCAUGCUGAUCUAAAACAUUUAGCAUUUUCUGUCUCAUUUCCGUAACCACUGUGGUACCCAUUUUGGUUCUUAUCUGAGUCUAGACCGUAACAGUCAUGGCCAUGGAAAACAACCAUGCAAAGACUCCCCCGACAGUACAGAAGACCACUUGGACAUAACCAUGCAAACUACCAACCAAAAGUUAAUCAGGCAGCUCAUUACUCAAGAUAAUGGAGUUACUGUGAUACACACACACAUAUAUAUAUAUAUAUACAGCUGUGAAAAAAGAGACCAUUUUAAAUACUGCUUGGAUUUUUGCACCAGAAGUGGCAUAACAUUAUCCAAAAGCAGUGUGUAAGACUGGUGGAGGAGAACAAAUACUCAUUU